rnacentral:rRNA from 1 species
UACGUAGGGCGCAAGCGUUGUCCGGAAUUAUUGGGCGUAAAGAGCUCGUAGGCGGCUUGUCACGUCGGGUGUGAAAGCCCGGGGCUUAACCCCGGGUCUGCAUUCGAUACGGGCGGACUGGAGUUCGGCAGGGGAGACUGGAAUUCCUGGUGUAGCGGUGAAAUGACGCAGAUAUCAGGAGGAACACCGGUGGCGAAGGCGGGUCUCUGGGCCGAUACUGACGCUGAGUGAGCGAA